rnacentral:rRNA from 1 species
CCAGAAGUGCGAAUGCUGACAUGAGUAGCGAUAAAGGGAGUGAAAAGCUCCCUCGCCGAAAGCCCGAGGUUUCCUGCGCAACGUUCAUCGGCGCAGGGUGAGUCGGCCCCUAAGGCGAGGCUGAAAAGCGUAGUCGAUGGGAAACAGGUCAAUAUUCCUGUACCUCUUGGUAAUGCGAUGGGGGGACGGAGAAGGUUAGGUCAGCCGGGUGUUGGACGUCCCGGUUCAAGCGUGUAGGCAGACUUCUUAGGCAAAUCCGGGAGGUCAAUGCCGAGGCGUGAUAACGAGUGGUCUCGUACCGCGAAGUGAUUGAUACCAUGCUUCCAAGAAAAGCCUCUAAGCUUCAGUUACCAGAAGACCGUACCGCAAACCGACACAGGUGGGCAGGAUGAAAAUUCUAAGGCGCUUGAGAGAACUCAGGAGAAGGAACUCGGCAAAUUUGCACCGUAACUUCGGGAAAAGGUGCGCCCUGAUAGGUUGUAGCCCCUCGCGGGUGAAGGCUGAAAGGGUUGCAGUGAAAUGGUGGCUGCGACUGUUUAAUAAAAACACAGCACUCUGCAAACACGAAAGUGGACGUAUAGGGUGUGACGCCUGCCCGGUGCCGGAAGGUUAAGUGAUGGGGUGCAAGCUCUUGAUCGAAGCCCCGGUAAACGGCGGCCGUAACGAUAACGGUCCUAAGGUAGCGAAAUUCCUUGUCGGGUAAGUUCCGACCUGCACGAAUGGCGUAACGAUGGCCACACUGUCUCCUCCUGAGACUCAGCGAAGUUGAAGUGGUUGUGAAGAUGCAAUCUCCCCGCGGUUAGACGGAAAGACCCCAUGAACCUUUACUGUAGCUUUGCAUUGGACUUUGAACCGACUCGUGUAGGAUAGGUGGGAGGCUGUGAAUCCGGGACGCUAGUUCUGGUGGAGCCAACCUUGAAAUACCACCCUGGUUUGUUUGAGGUUCUAACCACGGCCCGUGAAUCCGGGUCUGGGACCGUGCAUGGUAGGCAGUUUGACUGGGGCGGUCUCCUCCUAAAGUGUAACGGAGGAGUACGAAGGUACGCUAGGUACAGUCGGAAAUCGUGCUGAUAGUGCAAUGGCAAAAGCGUGCUUGACUGCGAGACCCACACGUCGAGCAGGUACGAAAGUAGGUCAUAGUGAUCCGGUGGUUCUGUAUGGAAGGGCCAUCGCUCAACGGAUAAAAGGUACUCUGGGGAUAACAGGCUAAUACCGCCCAAGAGUUCAUAUCGACGGCGGUGUUUGGCACCUCGAUGUCGGCUCAUCACAUCCUGGGGCUGUAGUCGGUCCCAAGGGUAUGGCUGUUCGCCAUUUAAAGUGGUACGUGAGCUGGGUUUAAAACGUCGUGAGACAGUUUGGUCCCUAUCUGCCGUGGGCGCUGGAAAUUUGAAGGGGGCUGCUCCUAGUACGAGAGGACCGGAGUGGACGAACCUCUGGUGUACCGGUUAUGACGCCAGUCGUAUCGCCGGGUAGCUAAGUUCGGAAGAGAUAAACGCUGAAAGCAUCUAAGCGUGAAACUCGCCUUAAGAUAAGAUUUCCCCGGGGACUCGAUCCCCCUGAAGGGUCGUGGUAGACCACCACGUUGAUAGGCUGGGUGUGGAAGCGCAGCAAUGCGUUAAGCUAACCAGUACUAAU